rnacentral:misc_RNA from 1 species
CUCAUUUAAGUUAGAAACGCUGUUGAGAUACGAUAUUUUUAAAUAUUUAUUUGUAUAAAUAACACCUGGUCAAUUCGAUUGUUGUCCAUUCUAUAGUACCAAUAGUUUCUUUAAGUGUUAUUUGCGGUGAAAAGUAACUAUGAACAUCAUGUGUGUGCUAAAAAUUACGACGAAAUGGAGCGCUGUGCACGAUUCCGAUUACUUUAGCGGAGGGGUAAAAAACCGAACUUCCGUAUAAAUUUGGUAUGUGCGGAUAGGGGAGCUUCUCCAGAGAGGAAAUAUCCAAAAAUAAU